CACGUAGGGCGCGAGCGUUGUCCGGAAUUAUUGGGCGUAAAGAGCUCGUAGGCGGCCUGUUGCGUCCGCUGUGAAAGCCCGGGGCUUAACCCCGGGUCUGCAGUGGAUACGGGCAGGCUAGAGGUAGGUAGGGGAGAAUGGAAUUCCUGGUGUAGCGGUGAAAUGCGCAGAUAUCGGGAGGAACACCGGUGGCGAAGGCGGUUCUCUGGGCCUUACCUGACGCUGAGGAGCGAAAGCGUGGGGAGCGAACAGG
rnacentral:rRNA from 1 species